rnacentral:tRNA from 1 species
UGUUAGAUGUGGGGUUCGAACCCACGCCCUCACUAGAGGACGAGAACUCAAGUCUGGCGCCUUAGACCACUCGGCCAAUCUGAC